GUCUCCCAGGGUUUUGAAAAUGUCUGCUUUGUAAAUGCCCAUUCUCAAUUUGCACUGUCCUUCUGCGGUCAAUGUUUGUGUAUUUGCUUUUUUUUUAUCAGUUUGUCUCUUUGAUUAUAUCUCAUUUGGGCCAUUGUUUAUCCUUUGGGACAAAGAUGGUGCAAGGUAUUGUGGUUAUAGCUGCAAUGCAGAGGUAUCCAGGAUUGUGUCCAUUCAGAAAAACAUUAAAACAUUUAAGCUGCAAUCUAUCCCAGCAUGGUAUUUGGAUCAAUGGAUUAAGUGAGCAUCAGAAAGUCAGAGCAGUAUAAAUUUAAGGGAUACAUAUGGAAUCCUGAUGACUUACAAAGCAAAAAUCAUGUAGCUUGCAGGUAAGCCCGAUUAAUCAAUGAAACAGUUUAUGUCUAUUCUCUGCAUCCUGUCUCAAGAGUCUCCUGAAGAGAUAAGGGCAGAGAGGGCUAAUCACAGGUGCUGAAGUUGUCGCAUCUAGGAUUGCUGUGUGGAAUCAGAAAAUGCUGAUGAUACUCCUAGUCUGAGCAGAACCAUACAGGUGAAGAGCGCUUUGGAGGCCACUAGAGGGACGAAAAUACAUACUCAAACUACUCAUUCAAUUUUUCAAAAGUAUUACAAAUUUGAGAUAUAGUACUGCUGAACCGCAGAGACCACAUGGUGUACGGAACUACACAACUCAUCAUGGUGCCAACUGCCUAACCCCUAAUUUCUGUUUGUUGAUGGAAGGACAAGGGAGGCUGGACAGAGAGCACCGAGAAGGAACAGUUGCAGAGUCUGCUGGACACAUCAAGGUAGAAAUGGAAGUCCUCAUGCAGAAUGUGAUGGCCUCCCGAACUGUGAGCUGCAGGAGACCAUAACAUGGUUCGUCACCUCCAGGCCAGAAUAGACCAGCUGUAGGACCUUGAUUGCCAUCUCGAGGAGGAACUCCUGAGCUGCUAAAGCCAUUUGAUCAGCGGAAACAUUGAUUCCUACUUUAAUUUUUUCUUCAGUUCGGAGCAUAGCAUUGGCUUGCUUUAGCUGCCACCUACAUUUUAAAGUGAUCCCCGAUGAAGCGUCAACAAGGACCAAGCCAAAGUCAGCAGUUCUUUCUCAGAAAAGACAAGAUUUGAACAGAUCCAGAAAAGGCAAUGCAGUGAUCCAGUUUGGCUGGGAGCAAAUAGUUCCUUUUAGUAAUUGUCUUUUGUAUAUUGGCUGUGCACUUUCAGUUACAUUCCCAAUAAAAAUACCUUUCAAAUUA